rnacentral:rRNA from 1 species
UACGUAGGGUGCGAGCGUUGCCCGGAUUUAUUGGGCGUAAAGGGCGCGUAGGCGGCUCGGCACGUCCGUUGUGAAAUCGCCCGGCUCAACUGGGCGGGGUCAGCGGAUACGGUCGAGCUUGAGCAAGCUAGGGGGCAAUGGAAUUCCCGGUGUAGUGGUGGAAUGCGUAGAUAUCGGGAGGAACACCAGUGGCGAAGGCGGUCUGCUGGGCCGUUGCUGACGCUGAGGCGCGACAGCGUGGGGAGCAAACAGG